GGCAUGGACCCCUCCUGGCAUCCUGCAUAUUUUAGCAUUUGUUCCUGCCUCUCCCCACUAGAAUGCAAGCUGCAAGGGAACUGUAUCCUUAAGGCCUGGUCUGCGAAGCCUGAGUCCUGUCCUCUCGCUCUCCUCCCCGGGCAGCAUGAGCUUCACCACUUGCUCCUCCUUUUCCACCAACUACCGGUCCGUGGGCUCCAUCCGGGUGCCCAGCUAUGGCGCCUGGCUGGUCAGCAGCGCGGCCAGCGUCUAUGCAGGCGCCAGGGGCUCUGGUUCCCGCGUCUCCGUGACGCGCUCCACCAGCGUCCGGAGCGGCAGGGUCGUGGGGGCCUGGCCGCGGGGAUGGCCAGGGGUCUGGCAGGAAUGGGAGGCAUCCAGAACGAGAAGGAGACCAUGCAAAUCCUGAACGACUGCCUGGCCUCCUACGUGGACAGAGUCAGGAGCCUGGAGACCGAGAACCGAAAGCUGGAGAUCAAAAUCCGGGAGCACCUGGAGAAGAAGGGACCCCAGGUCAGAGACUGGGGCCAUUACUUCAAGAUCAUCGAGGACCUGGGGGCUCAGAUCUUCUCAAAUACUGUGGACAAUGCCCGCAUCAUUCUGCAGAUUGACAAUGCUCUCUUGCUGCUGAUGACUUUAGAGUCAAGUAUGAGACAGAGCUGGCCAUGCGCCAGUCUGUGGAGAGCGACAUCCAUGGUCUCCGCAAGGUCAUCGAUGACACCAAUGUCACUCGGCUGCAGCUGGAGACAGAGAUCGAGGCUCUCAAGGAGGAGCUGCUCUUCAUGAAGAAGAUCCAUGAAGAGGAAGUAAAUGGCCUACAAGCCCAGAUUGCCAGCUCUGGGUUGACCGUGGAGGUAGAUGCCCCCAAAUCUCAGGACCUUGCUAAGAUCAUGGCAGAAAUCCGGGCUCAGUAUGAUGAGCUGGCUCGGAAGAACCGAGAGAAGCUGGACAAGUACUGGACUCAGCUGAUUGAGGAGAGUACCACAAUAGUCACCACACAGUCCACUGAGGUUGAAACUGCUGAGAAGAUGCUCACAGAGCUGAGACGUACAGUCCAGUCCUUGGAGAUUGACCUGGACUCCAUGAGAAAUACAAAGAUCAGCUUGGAGAACAGCCUGAGGGAGGUGGAGGUCCGCUAUGCCCUGCAGAUGGAGCAGCUCAACGGGAUCCUGCUGCACCUGGAGUCAGAGCUGGCACAGACCCGGGCAGAGGGACAGCGCCAGGCCCAGGAGUACGAGGCUCUGUUGAACAUCAAGGUCAAGCUGGAGGCUGAGAUCGCCACCUACCGUCGCCUGCUGGAAGAUGGGGAGGACUUCAGUCUCAGUGAUGCCUUGAACAGCAGCAGCAACUCCAUGCAAACCAUCCAAAAGACGGCCACCCGCCAGAUAGUGGAUGGCAAAGUGGUGUCUGAGACCAACGACACUAAAGUUCUGAGACAUUAUGCCAGCAGAAGCAGGGGACCCUUGGGGGAGCAGGAGGCCAAUAAAAGUUCAGAGGUCAAAAAAAAAAAAUCUGAAUUUUAAUCUUGGAGACAGAGGCUAUCCCUUAUUUUUUGAAACAGAGAUUGCAAAUCCUGGGGCCUGAGCUGUUCCACCCUAAGGUUAGUAAACUUUAAUGAACAUCUGAUGCUGAUCUUCUGAGUGGGAAUGUUUUCAUGUAACCAGCGGGAGGGAGAAGGUUCUCCCUUUUAGCAACUAUUUUGCAAGAUGAUUUCCUCAUGGGCCUGGUCUCCUUGUCCUCAUCAUGACCUCGUAACCACAUCAGUCCCAGCUUAUUUCUGAGAAAGCUGGGGCUCUGAGCCCCACUGAGAAUUGGCAACUGGGCUCAGGUAGCAGGGACACAGUGAGGGGGGAGGAUUUUGCAGCCAAAGUUGGGAGAGGCAAAGCUGGGAGUCACAGGGGGAGAGAGAGGUUGCUGGGGACAAGAUGAUGCCAGCACAGCUCAGGAUUGGCCUUGACUUCCCCACCAGAGUUGACCUGAUUCUGAAGACCAAGACCAUAGCUCCAAUAAACCAGACCCAUCCUCAUUGUUAGUCUCCUGGGGCCAUAAAAUCUAGGGAGACAGGGUCCCCAGACAGAACAAAGUUAAAUUUACCAGAGCUCUAGGCAUUCAUUCACCCUGAUCCAGAGCUUUCACACACCCAGGGAAAGAAUCAUAAUUCCUACAGAUAACGGACUAAGGCUAAUAGGGCAAUGAGGAAGUGCUGGGGGCAUAAUUCCCUGUGCACACCUGCCCAUCUGAGCUCUUCCACAGCGGUUCUGUGGGACCCUCACACAGCUUCCAUGCUCCUGCUCAUACUGCUUGCCCAGCCAGGAGUCUUCCAGCUCCACCUGAGUUACGCAAACCCCCAAGUGAAGCCAAUUUGCUUCAGCCUUCUCUUCCACAGCCUCCUGUUUAUUCCCAGGAGAUUCAGUGUCUUUCUUUUGCACCCUGGGUCCCUUCACUUGUGCUUCUACCAUGAGUGGUCACAAGCUCUGUGCCCUUUGGUGUGGAUCUCUCUGUUGGAGGACACAGGACAUUCUGUAAGUCAGGAAUGGGUGUCAUCCUUAACAGAGAUGGCCAUGUGGCCCAGGUUCUAUAUGCACCUGCAAAACUGCUGUUUCUGGCUUCUAUAAACAAUCUCUGGCUGGGCUGGUGGCUCAUGCCCAUAAUCUCAGCACUUUGGAGGCCUAAGUUGGCAGUUGGCAUGAGUCCAGGAGUUUGAGACCAGCUUGGGCAACAUGGUGAGAUAUGGUCUCUACAAAAAGUAAAAAAGAGAGAGAGAGAGAGAUGGACACAGUGGCUCACGCCUGUAAUCGCAGCACUUUGGGAGGCCAAGGUGGGUGGAUCACCUGAGGUCAGGAGUUAGAGACCAGCCUGGCCAAUAUGGUGAAACCCUAUCUUUACUAAAAAUACAAAACUUAGCCAGGUGUGGUGGUACACACCUGUAGUCUCAGCUACUCAGGAGGCUGAGACAAAAGAAUCACUUGAACCCAGGAUGCGGAUGUUUCAGUGAGCUGAGAUCUGAGAUCCCACCACUGUGCUCCAGCCUGGGUGACAAAGUGAGACUCCAUCUCAAAAACAAAAAGAAAAGAAAAAGAAAAAGGCAGAGCACUGUGGCUCACACGUGUAAUCCCAGGACUUUGGGAGGCCAAGGUGGGCAGAUCAUGAGAUCAGUAGAUAAGACUGACCUGGCCAACAUGGUGAAACACUGUCUCUACUAAAAAUACAAAAAAUUAGUCCCAGCUACUUGAGAUGCUGAGGCAGGAGAAUCUCAUGAACCUAAGAGGCAGAGGUUAUAGUGAGCAGAGAUGGCACCACUGCACUACAGCCUGGUGACAGAGUGAGACUCUGUCCCCCCAAAAAAGAAAAUAAAAUUAAAAAGAGUCAACAUGGUGGUGCGUGACUGUAGUCCCAGCUGCUCCUCUGGAGGCUAAGGUGGGAGGAUCACCUGAACCCUGGAGAUGGAGGUUGCACUGAGCCCGGAUUGCACCACUGCACUCCAGCCUGGGUGACACAGUAAGACUCUGUCCCCACAAAAAAUAAAAAAUCUGUCUUUAUCUACAAGAGAUACCUGCUGCCAAACUCACAAAGAGGAAAUCAUGCAGCAGACUAUGUACUCUCAGAAACCUGAGAAAAGUGGCCAGGAUCUCAGCCAGAGUUACCCCUGUCCUGCAAAGCCCUGCAGUCCCAUCUGUGAUGUUUCUAUGCACUGAAAAAAGAAGAGAUGAAUUUUGUUUUUUACAAAUUACUUUAUACUGUUCAAAUCAACACAUCAAGUGAUGCAUUUAAAGGUGUUGGUUGAGGUUUCAGAGGCCACGUGCCUAGAGGAGGGGGCUGAAGUCUGAGAGGACACUCAGGUGAAGGUUGAGUGUCAGUUGAGACAGCAGGUCAGCCAAGUGAGGGAGAUGGCUGAAGUACUAGAGAAGACCUAGGGGAAGGAGGUGGCUGAGGGCUGAGAGGUCAUGAGAAGAUUCUUUAGGUACUAGAGGAGACUCAUUUGAAGGUGACAGCUAAGGGAGGCCACCAAGGUAGAGAAGGUGGCUGAGGUUCCAGAGGCCAUUAACUGGAGAAGUAGGCUGAGGUCCCAGAGGCCACACUGCUGGAGGAAGAAGAUGAGUUCCCCCAGGACAGACAGCUGGAUGAGGUGGAUAAGGUCCCCCAGGACAGACAGAUAGAUGAGGUGAAUGGGGUCCCCCAGGAUAGACAGCUGAAGUGAAUGGGGUUCCCCAGGAUAGACAGGUGGAUGAGGUGGAUGGGGUCCUCCAGGAUAGACAGGUGGAUGAGGUAGAUGGGGUCCCCCAGGAUAGACAGGUGGGUGAGGUGGAUGGGGUCCCCCAGGAUAGACAGGUGGAUG